AUAUAUAUAUAUAUAUAUAUAUGCUCGAAAAUAAUAAACAGAGAGAAAUAGAAAAGAGAACAUGCGAAUCGUACAUUGGUUUCAAUUAACAAAAAAAAAAAAAAAAUAAGCACCAUCGCAUAAUUGACUGAUUAAAUAAACGCGAUCGCUGCCGAGGAACGAUCGAACAUCGCGGGCCACCAACGUGUUGAAGAACAGAAGAAUAAAAAGAAGUACCGAUGGUAUAUCCAUGUUAAAUGUAGACAUAUUGAUAGAAUUUGUUCGUUUUAGGAUACUCUGAUAAAGGAAAAAAAAAAAAAAAAAAUAACAAAAAAUAAACAAUAUCAGAUUAACGUUAAAAACAUUCGUAACCCUAAAACGUACAAGAAUAAUAAUGAUGAUAAUAAUAAUAAUAAUAAU